GAUAGAACAACACCGAGGUGAGAGGUCACCUGGCGGUUACCUAUAGAGGCGAAUGCCGAUGAAGACCUCAAAUGAAGACACUACCUCUCUGACAGGAAAGCAAGCAUGGGGACAGGACUGACUGCAGGACACCGUGGACCCAAAGCUGGCCCACAGGAGAGAUCUGGUGAGACAGCUGAGACGCCAGCAAUGAGAAAUAAGAGAGCUUUAGGUACGAAACCAGUAAGCGUGAGACGAGAAACCAGAGCAUGU